rnacentral:lncRNA from 1 species
AGAGAUGUUGAGAGAUCAACCAGGAGACUGUGGGAGGAUGUGAGCUCUCUGAGAAGGAGAAGAAGUAUUUACAUUAGAAGUCUGAUUCACAGGUCGGGGCAAAGUGAAAAACAUCUGCACUUUUAAAAGAGAGGUCAAAAGUCCGUCUGACUCACCUGUGCUGAGUGACUUGAAUGCCAUCUAAUCUAACUUCAAGAUCAUCAGGAUACUUGCCAACAAGGUCACAGUGGACUCCAUGGAGCAACUGCCCUCAGGAGGCAACAGGUUCUUUUUGAGGGGAGUCUCUCUGAUGCUUGGAAUGAAUCCUGCUGAAUCAAUGCUGAUGCUUGGAGAUCUUCAAGUCUUUUCCCUUUUUCCCAUUGCUCAUGAUGUCUAUAUAACCUCCAAACAUGCAUCCCACUCCUCUGCCGAAAGACCAUUUUUUUAUAUCUUCAGUGAUGGUCUAGGCCAGGUUAAUUGACUUUUCUUUUUUCUUAAGCCAACUAAAGUCCUCACCACAAAUUAA